rnacentral:rRNA from 1 species
CGGAACGGGUGAGUAAUACAUCGGAACGUGCCCAGUAGUGGGGGAUAACCCGGCGAAAGCCGGACUAAUACCGCAUACGACCUACGGGUGAAAGCAGGGGAUCGCAAGACCUUGCGCUAUUGGAGCGGCCGAUGUCAGAUUAGCUUGUUGGCGGGGUAAAAGCCCACCAAGGCGACGAUCUGUAGCUGGUCUGAGAGGACGACCAGCCACACUGGGACUGAGACACGGCCCAG